rnacentral:rRNA from 1 species
CCUACGGGGGGCAGCAGUGAGGAAUAUUGGUCAAUGGCCGGAAGGCUGAACCAGCCAUGCCGCGUGAAGGUCAGUGCCCUAUGGGCGUUAAACUUCUUUUGUGCGGGAGCAAUAAUGGUCACGUGUGGCCAGACGAGAGUACCGUACGAAUAAGCAUCGGCUAACUCCGUGCCAGCAGCCGCGGUAAUACGGGGGAUGCAAGCGUUAUCCGGAUUUAUUGGGUUUAAAGGGUGCGUAGGCUGUGAGGUAAGUCAGCGGUGAAAUGCCCCCGCUCAACGGGGUGAAGUGCCAUUGAUACUGCCUGGCUGGAAUGCGGAUGCCGUGGGAGGAAUGUGUGGUGUAGCGGUGAAAUGCAUAGAUAUCACACAGAACACCGAGUGCGAAGGCAUCUCACGAAUCCGCGAUUGACGCUGAUGCACGAAAGCGUGGGUAUCAAACAGGAUUAGAUACCCUAGUAGUC